rnacentral:rRNA from 1 species
AAAUUGAAGAGUUUGAUCAUGGCUCAGAUUGAACGCUGGCGGCAGGCCUAACACAUGCAAGUCGAACGGUAGCACAGAGAGCUUGCUCUCGGGUGACGAGUGGCGGACGGGUGAGUAAUGUCUGGGAAACUGCCUGAUGGAGGGGGAUAACUACUGGAAACGGUAGCUAAUACCGCAUAACGUCGCAAGACCAAAGAGGGGGACCUUCGGGCCUCUUGCCAUCAGAUGUGCCCAGAUGGGAUUAGCUAGUAGGUGGGGUAACGGCUCACCUAGGCGACGAUCCCUAGCUGGUCUGAGAGGAUGACCAGCCACACUGGAACUGAGACACGGUCCAGACUCCUACGGGAGGCAGCAGUGGGGAAUAUUGCACAAUGGGCGCAAGCCUGAUGCAGCCAUGCCGCGUGUAUGAAGAAGGCCUUCGGGUUGUAAAGUACUUUCAGCGGGGAGGAAGGCGAUAAGGUUAAUAACCUUGUCGAUUGACGUUACCCGCAGAAGAAGCACCGGCUAACUCCGUGCCAGCAGCCGCGGUAAGAGUGGAGGUGCAAGCGUUAAUCGGAAUUACUGGGCGUAAAGCGCACGCAGGCGGUCUGUCAAGUCGGAUGUGAAAUCCCCGGGCUCAACCUGGGAACUGCAUUCGAAACUGGCAGGCUAGAGUCUUGUAGAGGGGGGUAGAAUUCCAGGUGUAGCGGUGAAAUGCGUAGAGAUCUGGAGGAAUACCGGUGGCGAAGGCGGCCCCCUGGACAAAGACUGACGCUCAGGUGCGAAAGCGUGGGGAGCAAACAGGAUUAGAUACCCUGGUAGUCCACGCCGUAAACGAUGUCGACUUGGAGGUUGUGCCCUUGAGGCGUGGCUUCCGGAGCUAACGCGUUAAGUCGACCGCCUGGGGAGUACGGCCGCAAGGUUAAAACUCAAAUGAAUUGACGGGGGCCCGCACAAGCGGUGGAGCAUGUGGUUUAAUUCGAUGCAACGCGAAGAACCUUACCUACUCUUGACAUCCAGAGAACUUAGCAGAGAUGCUUUGGUGCCUUCGGGAACUCUGAGACAGGUGCUGCAUGGCUGUCGUCAGCUCGUGUUGUGAAAUGUUGGGUUAAGUCCCGCAACGAGCGCAACCCUUAUCCUUUGUUGCCAGCGGUCCGGCCGGGAACUCAAAGGAGACUGCCAGUGAUAAACUGGAGGAAGGUGGGGAUGACGUCAAGUCAUCAUGGCCCUUACGAGUAGGGCUACACACGUGCUACAAUGGCGCAUACAAAGAGAAGCGACCUCGCGAGAGCAAGCGGACCUCAUAAAGUGCGUCGUAGUCCGGAUUGGAGUCUGCAACUCGACUCCAUGAAGUCGGAAUCGCUAGUAAUCGUGGAUCAGAAUGCCACGGUGAAUACGUUCCCGGGCCUUGUACACACCGCCCGUCACACCAUGGGAGUGGGUUGCAAAAGAAGUAGGUAGCUUAACCUUCGGGAGGGCGCUUACCACUUUGUGAUUCAUGACUGGGGUGAAGUCGUAACAAGGUAACCGUAGGGGAACCUGCGGUUGGAUCACCUCCUUACCUUAAAGAA